rnacentral:tRNA from 1 species
GCGGGUUGAGGAUAGUGGAGACCAAUGGCCUUUAGGGCCAUGAUUGCGGGUUCGAUUCCCGUAACCCGCU